rnacentral:rRNA from 1 species
CUUCCGGAGCUAACGCGUUAAGUAGACCGCCUGGGGAGUACGGCCGCAAGGUUAAAACUCAAAUGAAUUGACGGGGGCCCGCACAAGCGGUGGAGCAUGUGGUUUAAUUCGAUGCAACGCGAAGAACCUUACCUGGUCUUGACAUCCACGGAAGAAUYCAGAGAUGGAUUUGUGCCUUCGGGAACCGUGAGACAGGUGCUGCAUGGCUGUCGUCAGCUCGUGUUGUGAAAUGUUGGGUUAAGUCCCGCAACGAGCGCAACCCUUAUCCUUUGUUGCCAGCGGUCCGGCCGGGAACUCAAAGGAGACUGCCAGUGAUAAACUGGAGGAAGGUGGGG